GCCGGGUGCAGUGGUUCGUGCCUGUAGUCCCAGCUACUCGGGAGGCUGAGGCGGGAGGAUCUCUUGAGUCCAGGAGUUCUGGGCUGUAGUGCGCUAUGCUGAUCGGGUGUCCACACUAAGUUUGGCAUCAAUAUGGUGAUCUCCUGGGAUUGGGGAUCACCAAGUUGCCUAAAGAGCGGUGAACCGUUCCAGGUCAGAAACAGAGCUGGUCAAAAUUCCCGUGCUGAUCGGUAGUGGGAUCGCGACUGUGAAUAGCCACUGCACUACAGCCUGGGCAACAUAGGGAGACACCGUCUCU
ensembl:misc_RNA Metazoa_SRP Metazoan signal recognition particle RNA